AAAAUAAAAACUUUAUUUUUUUUUUUUCCAAAUAUGUAAAGAUACUUUUAUAAAAAAAUAUUUUUACAUCGAACCAAAUAAGCGAAAAAAUAAUUUUCAUACCAAAAACAAAUUUUCAGUUCGUUUUACGCCGAGUCAAACCCAUCCCUAGGCAGUAAUAAUUUAUUAGGCCUAAACCAUUGUCCGAAAAUAUCUAUAAGCUUGGUUAUUAUUAUUAAAAUGUGUGAUCUCUUUAUAUUUUCAAUUAGAAUCAUCUUUUCAUCCGAUCGAUGUGAAAUUAUUGA
rnacentral:lncRNA from 1 species